UAGGGAAUCUUCCACAAUGGACGCAAGUCUGAUGGAGCAACGCCGCGUGAGUGAAGAAGGUUUUCGGAUCGUAAAGCUCUGUUGUUGGUGAAGAAGGAUAGAGGCAGUAACUGGUCUCUAUUCGACGGUAAUCAACCAGAAAGUCACGGCUAACUACGUGCCAGCAGCCGCGGUAAUACGUAGGUGGCAAGCGUUGUCCGGAUUUAUUGGGCGUAAAGCGAGCGCAGGCGGAAUGGUAAGUCUGAUGUGAAAGCCCACGGCUCAACCGUGGAACUGCAUUGGAAACUGUCAUUCUUGAGUGCAGAAGAGGAGAGUGGAAUUCCAUGUGUAGCGGUGGAAUGCGUAGAUAUAUGGAAGAACACCAGUGGCGAAGGCGGCUCUCUGGUCUGCAACUGACGCUGAGGCUCGAAAGCAUGGGUAGCGAACAGG
rnacentral:rRNA from 1 species